AACGAACGCUGGCGGCAUGCCUAACACAUGCAAGUCGAACGAGACCUUCGGGUCUAGUGGCGCACGGGUGCGAACGCGUGGGAACCUGCCCUUAGGUUCGGAAUAACUCCCCGAAAGGGGUGCUAAUACCGGAUAAUGUCUUCGGACCAAAGAUUUAUCGCCUUUGGAUGGGCCCGCGUUGGAUUAGCUAGUUGGUAGGGUAAAAGCCUACCAAGGCGACGAUCCAUAGCUGGUCUGAGAGGAUGAUCAGCCACACUGGGACUGAGACACGGCCCAGACUCCUACGGGAAGCAGCAGUGGGGAAUAUUGGACAAUGGGCGAAAGCCUGAUCCAGCAAUGCCGCGUGAGUGAUGAAGGCCUUAGGGUUGUAAAGCUCUUUUACCCGGGAUGAUAAUGACAGUACCGGGAGAAUAAGCUCCGGCUAACUCCGUG
rnacentral:rRNA from 1 species